rnacentral:rRNA from 1 species
GUCCUACGGGGGGCAGCAGUGGGGAAUAUUGCACAAUGGGGGGAACCCUGAUGCAGCGACGCCGCGUGGGUGAAGGAGUACUUCGGUAUGUAAAGCCCUAUCAGCAGGAAAGAAAAUGACGGUACCUGACUAAGAAGCCCCGGCUAACUACGUGCCAGCAGCCGCGGUAAUACGUAGGGGGCAAGCGUUAUCCGGAUUUACUGGGUGUAAAGGGAGCGUAGACGGCAGUGCAAGUCCGGAGUGAAAGCCCGGGGCUCAACCCUGGGACUGCUCUGGAAACUGUAAAGCUGGAGUGCGGGAGGGGC